AAAUGUAGCCGUCAUAAACUCUUCUCUAUGCAGAAUAAUCCAUUCCCGUGUGAUUCACGCCAACUGUUGGUGUGUUGGCUUUCGUAACCGCCAAAAAUCCAAGUACUCUUUGCAGUGUGUCUCAUUAGGAAACGAACUUCCAGGAUCAAGACUGGUGGUUAUACGGUCGGGACGCCAGUUUGCUACCCGCGGCUUCUCACGUUCCUUGUAUGACAGUGUUUCUCCUACUCAAAGUAAUCUCCAAGCUCAAUACGCUUUAAUUGUGCCGUCGUUGAUUGACGACGAUGAAAUGAUUUUCGAGUGUUGGAUGGCUUAUGAAUGAUGGGUUUAAUACGAAUUGAACCUUGCGGGAAUUGUUUUGGAGAAUUUGAAGCCAUAAAAGUUUAAGGCUAUGGCAAAAAGAGUAUGGCUCACGACCUGUUUGAUAAAAAGUAUGAAUGACCACUCUUGUUUCUUGCAUCAUCUUUCCAAAUGUCUUCAUUCCUGACAGGUGUCUCUAACAAUAACCUUCAUCCCAAGGUUACACGGAAUUGCAGCAGCAUCCUUAGUAGUUCGACGUUGUGAAUCCUUGGAGUUUGUAGAGAGAACAACCCACUUUAUAGAAGAACAAAGCGAAGUGUUUAGGAUUUGUGGCUUAGCCGUUGAUUGCCUAUAUGUAGCUACUCUUUCCAACUGCAUGUGGUUUGUAUAUCAAAAUGACAAUUUCGGAUCCACCAUGAAUCCUAUGCUUUGAUUUUCUCGCGCAAUGAUGGAUUCUAGACUGCCCUUGGUAGCUUAAUCUUUCUUUGCCAUUCACUUGGACUGGAACGACAACACCAUAUCAACCAAUUUGUACAUGUCAGCUGUCCUUGCUUGGGAUUGGGUUGGAUGAUCAUUCUGUUUGUUUUCAAACUUGAGCAAUCUCCAAUGGGUAGCACACGUUAUAGAACCCCAUUAGCCUCCACUUCUCAUUCAAUCGCGUCCAUAUCAACUGGUGGAAAAUAUAGCCGUCAACACUUGAAAUUCGACGAUUUGUGAAAUUCUGAAAGUUCUAGUCCGUGUCAAAUAUGUAUUUCCUUUCUUCUACGGCUGUUAAUCUCCUUCUAUAUGAGAAUCUUCGCACCUCCUUUCAUUACUCACAACAGAAGUUUGCUACCUCCUCAUGUAAGUACUUUCAUUCUUCCUUUUGUUGUUCUCUAAUUUUCUUCUUGUUUUUCUAAAACAAGAGCAUGUUUAUGUAGCUUUUUGUUUGUUUGAGUAACAGCUUACUCAUCUCUUUACUCCUACUUCGAAAAUACCAGGUAACUCGAGCACUGUCGCUGCACCUGUCUUAGUUCUUUCCUUUAAGAUCGCUACUAGUAUUUGAACUGUACAAGACUUGCUUUUGUUUUAAAUUUCCUUGAUUAUCAUCAAUAUGUCCAGCAACUCGUCAUCACCUUCCACGAAAGAAAGUUUAUGUGAUUGACCAUAACAUGCAACCGGAUUAGACUCCUCUAGAGAUGCACUACAAGAACCGCAUAACGAUUCUUGUUAGCAUCCUCUAUGAUCAGCUACCUCUUAACUGAUUAGCCUCUAGGAUAUUUCAAUGGUUUGUAGUCAUACCGAAGACAACUUCCUACGAUAAUGAACAUUCGAAGUUCUUGGUUUUCUCUUUAAUAGAAAAUGUUCCAAGCUAUUACCUUUCUCUUUCAUUAUAAAAUAUUUUGAAACAUAUGCGUGCCUGAAAUGUUUCAUAAUAGCUUUACCGAGGAUUUUACCUUAUGUGAAUGCAGUUUUCUCUUGUAUUUGAUUAGGCACAUUCUUUUCUGUUGUCAAAAAUGAUCAUCACCGGUACAUCGAAUCUGUAAGUUUUUGUAGAUGUCUAUUACCCCUGUUCUUACCAAAGCUACUACUUAUACCCAUUUAGUCAAGUAGUUAGUUGCAGCUAACAAAUACUUGACGCCCCCAAGUGCAGCUGGAAACAAACAUACAAUAUUCAGUCCCUACUUGUUGAACGGCCAUAGGCUCACAACCAGAUGCAACUCACUCUGCUAGUCUCUUUAUAAGAGGGCCAUGAAGCUGACAAGCCAAGCAUUUUCUUAUAUAGUCCUUGCGUCACUCUGCAUAUAAGGCCAAAAGUAGUAUUGGGAUAAAAUCUUAUGCGCUAGACUCCUGCCUUCAAAAUGAUCCACACAGCAUCCAUAAUGUUCCUCAGCAAACGAUUGCUUCCUUUCCUCUCAAGUCACAAGGAAGAUGAAUUUGUAGACGUGUGUACCGCCUCCAUACUCACCAAAGAUAGUACAUACUACAUCAAUCCAUUUGGUGCUGCAGUCAAUUGCAGCUAGCAAGUAGCACACGCCCCCAGGUGCAGUGUAGUCUUUAGUCCAGAGACUACUGCUUCAUACUCCGAUUGAUUGUUUGAAGUUAUAAAUCUUAGUCGGAUGGCUUUUUUGACUUGUAUUUCUCCUGGGAAACUAGUACACAACCAACGGCUGUACCAUCCGCGUUUGUUAAUCCGUUGCUCCCAUUAGCCGUCCCCAUUAUCUGUAGAGAUACUCCCAAAUAGCGAGGACGCCCCCAGGUGAAAGGUGUUGGUUCCCCAUGGUAGGGGCGAAGCUUCAAGAUGAGAACAUAGAACUGCUGGCUCAGAAAGGCUUUUUUCCCACGUCUAGGUGAAAUUUUAGUGCUCACGGCAGGGGCGAGGCUUCAUGAACAUAUGAGAGGGAUACCUCAUACAAAGUCUUCUGCUCCGUUUGCCUUCUUAAUUUAAUGUAUGAUACUCGAAAAGGUAAUAUGGCCAGUAUUCUCACAGUAUAACGUGAAUGGAAAACAACCAAAAAAAAAAUCGAGAUGGCACAAAGAGGACCACUAAACAAUUGAGUUAGAUCUUAAGUAAGUUAGGAUGACUCCACUCCUAUUUUGUUUUCCUUCAAAGUAGGAGUAUUGGCAGAUUAGAGUAUAUUUUUAUACAAAGAAUGGUUUGAUAUAUAUGAAUGAUCAUAAUACCGUACCAAGUAAUAAUUAGACAAAUGGAAAGGAACGAGCAAACCAGUAUGUUGUGAUACACCAGUUCGUUGUUGGUAGAUCACGAGUUUUUCGCUCGUUACCCUUAGUCGGCGCCAAAAGAUGUUGGUACAAAAAUAUUCAUCCCAACACUCUCCAAGAUGCGUAUAGGUGGAUUAAAUCUCUAUCGUUGAUCUGAUUCCUCCAAAGAUGCUGAAGAAAUUGUGAGUAAUGUUGACCGAUUGAUCUCCAACUGCUGAUUUAACUCCACAAGAAAUAGUUGAUGAUAUUGUAAUUGAUGUUGAAUGGAGGGGGUACCUGCAAAAGUCAGGGAGAGUUUCUUAGCAGGUGUAUUGUGUGGAAAAGGAUUAGAAAAUCUCUACCUUUUGAGUUAGGAUUUAGCCUCUAUUUAUAGGCAGAGAGUAGG